rnacentral:rRNA from 1 species
AACGAACGCUGGCGGCAGGCCUAACACAUGCAAGUCGAGCGAGGACUUCGGUCCUAGCGGCGGACGGGUGAGGAACGCGUGGGAACGUGCCCUUUGCUUCGGAAUAGCUCUGGGAAACGGGGAGUAAUACCGGAUGAGCGCUUAGGGGGGACGAUUUAUCGGCGAAGGAUCGGCCCGAGUUGGAUUAGGUAGUGGGGGGGGUAAUGGCCGCCCAAGCGGACGAUCCAUAGCUGGUUUGAGAGGAUGAUCAGCCACACUGGGACUGAGACACGGCCCAGACUCCUACGGGAGGCAGCAGUGGGGAAUCUUAGACCAUGGGGGAAACCCUGAUCUAGCCAUGACGCGUGAGCGAUGAAUGCCUUAGAGUUGUAAAGCUCUUUCAGCUGGGAAGAUAAUGACGGUACCAGCAGAAGAAGCCCCGGCUAACUCCGUG